UUCUAUUAGAGGUCCAGUUCUAUUAUACAGUUCUAUUAGUGGUCCAGUUCUAUUAUACAGUUCUAUUAGUGGUCCAGUUCUAUUAGAGGUCCAGUUCUAUUAUACAGUUCUAUUAGUGGUCCAGUUCUAUUAGUGGUCCAGUUCUAUUAUACAGUUCUAUUAGUGGUCCAGUUCUAUUAUACAGUUCUAUUAGUGGUCCAGUUCUAUUAGAGGUCCAGUUCUAUUAUACAGUUCUAUUAGUGGUCCAGUUCUAUUAGAGGUCCAGUUCUAUUAUACAGUUCUAUUAGUGGUCCAGUUCUAUUAUACAGUUCUAUUAGUGGUCCAGUUCUAUUAGAGGUCCAGUUCUAUUAUACAGUUCUAUUAGUGGUCCAGUUCUAUUAUACAGUUCUAUUAGUGGUCCAGUUCUAUUAUACAGUUCUAUUAGUGGUCCAGUUCUAUUAUACAGUUCUAUUAGUGGUCCAGUUCUAUUAGAGGUCCAGUUCUAUUAUACAGUUCUAUUAGUGGUCCAGUUCUAUUAUACAGUUCUAUUAGUGGUCCAGUUCUAUUAGAGGUCCAGUUCUAUUAUACAGUUCUAUUAGUGGUCCAGUUCUAUUAGAGGUCCAGUUCUAUUAUACAGUUCUAUUAGUGGUCCAGUUCUAUUAUACAGUUCUAUUAGUGGUCCAGUUCUAUUAGAGGUCCAGUUCUAUUAUACAGUUCUAUUAGUGGUCCAGUUCUAUUAGAGGUCCAGUUCUAUUAUACAGUUCUAUUAGUGGUCCAGUUCUAUUAUACAGUUCUAUUAGUGGUCCAGUUCUAUUAUACAGUUCUAUUAGUGGUCCAGUUCUAUUAUACAGUUCUAUUAGUGGUCCAGUUCUAUUAUACAGUUCUAUUAGUGGUCCAGUUCUAUUAUACAGUUCUAUUAGUGGUCCAGUUCUAUUAUACAGUUCUAUUAGUGGUCCAGUUCUAUUAUACAGUUCUAU